GAUGAAGAACGUAGCGAAAUGCGAUAAGUAGUGUGAAUUGCAGAAUUUAGUGAAUCAUCGAAUCUUUGAACGCACAUUGCGCCCUAUAGUAUUCUGUAGGGCAUGCCUGUUCGAGCGUUAUUGAGACCUCAAGCUCUGCUUGGAAAUGGGCGCUUGUCUUGUCUUGCAGACUCGCCUUAAAACCAUUGGCAGCUGAUUUACAAUGUUUGGUGCACAGUACAUGAGCCCAAGUGUUGCAAUGAGUGGCCCAAAAGUAUACAAUAGAAGCUUAACCUCGGAUCAGGUAGGGAUACCCGCUGAACUUAAGCAUAUCAAUAAGCGGAGGA
rnacentral:misc_RNA from 1 species